rnacentral:rRNA from 1 species
GACGAACGCUGGCGGCGUGCUUAACACAUGCAAGUCGAGCGGUAAGGCCCCUUCGGGGGUACACGAGCGGCGAACGGGUGAGUAACACGUGAGCAAUCUGCCCAUCACAUCGGGAUAACUCCGGGAAACCGAAGCUAAUACCGAAUACGACCACCUCCGGCAUCGGAUGGUGGUGGAAAGUUCCGGCGGUGAUGGAUGAGCUCGCGGCCUAUCAGCGUGUUGGUGGGGUAACGGCCCACCAAGGCUUCGACGGGUAGCCGGCCUGAGAGGGUGACCGGCCACACUGGGACUGAGACACGGCCCAGACUCCUACGGGAGGCAGCAGUGGGGAAUAUUGGACAAUGGGCGAAAGCCUGAUCCAGCAACGCCGCGUGAGGGAUGACGGCCUUCGGGUUGUAAACCUCUUUCAGCAGGGACGAAGCGCAAGUGACGGUACCUGCAGAAGAAGCACCGGCCAACUACGUG